rnacentral:rRNA from 1 species
ACGAGGCGAAGCAAAACACUGUGUGUUUUGCAGUGGAAAGUAGAAAGUGGAAAGUGGAAAGUUAUGAAACGGUGAAGAGGCCGAGAAGAAGUAACUUUCAACUUUCAGCUUUCAAUUUUCAACUGUGAAGCGAAACACAGAGUGUUUUGCUUCACCGAGUGGCGGACGGGUGAGUAACACGUGAGCAACCUGCCUUCAGGCGUGGAAUAACACAGGGAAACCUGUGCUAAUACCGCAUAACACAGCGGGGGGACAUCCCCCUGCUGUCAAAGAUUUAUCACCUGAAGAUGGGCUCGCGCCCGAUUAGAUAGUUGGUGAGGUAAUGGCUCACCAAGUCAGCGAUCGGUAGCCGGACUGAGAGGUCGAACGGCCACAUUGGGACUGAGACACGGCCCAGGCUCCUACGGGAGGCAGCAGUGAGGGAUAUUGCACAAUGGGCGAAAGCCUGAUGCAGCGACGCCGCGUGAGGGAAGACGGUCCUAUGGAUUGUAAACCUCUGUCUUCGGGGACGAAAAUGACGGUACCCGAGGAGGAAGCUCCGGCUAACUACGUGCCAGCAGCCGCGGUAAUACGUAGGGAGCGAGCGUUGUCCGGAAUUACUGGGUGUAAAGGGAGCGUAGGCGGGAAGAUAAGUCCGUUGUGAAAUCUAUCGGCUCAACCGGUAGCUGCGGCGGAA